rnacentral:rRNA from 1 species
CGAACGAGCUUCCGUUGAAUGACGUGCUUGCACUGAUUUUAACAAUGAAGCGAGUGGCGAACUGGUGAGUAACGCGUGGGGAA